AUACUGCUGAGGAGUCCCAAACUAGGACGAGACAGCUGUCCAGUAC
rnacentral:hammerhead_ribozyme from 1 species